rnacentral:rRNA from 1 species
UACGUAGGGGGCAAGCGUUGUCCGGAAUCAUUGGGCGUAAAGCGCGUGUAGGCGGCCCGGUAAGUCCGCUGUGAAAGUCGGGGGCUCAACCCUCGAAUGCCGGUGGAUACUGUCGGGCUAGAGUGCGGGAGAGGCGAGUGGAAUUCCUGGUGUGGCGGUGAAAUGCGCAGAUAUCAGGAGGAACACCAAUUGCGAAGGCAGCUCGCUGGAACGUAACUGACGCUGAGACGCGAAAGCGUGGGGAGCAAACAGG